rnacentral:lncRNA from 1 species
UCUAUUUGUUCCUCAUUGACUAUAUCUGGAAUCCUAUUGAGGGAGGACCUAGACGAACUAGAAGUGACUGAGUUGGAUCUAAAAAGUCGACUCAUUUUGGGAAAAGAAGAGAAAACAAGACCGAAACUAAAAAGAUAGGAGGAUUUAAGAUCCUUGGCUUAAGACCCUAAAGACUAGUACUCGCUCUUCUCCGCUUAUGCCGUAUCCGCUCAUGCCUCAACUGGGACUUAGUGUUUGGACCUGGACUUAAUGUUUGGUUGGAGAGAAUAACAGGCUUAAAAGGAAGUAAGAAAAAGAAAAUAAAACCAAAAAUCUUUAAAAUUAAGGGAGUUUACUCAAAAUUUCACAAAAUUAGUAAAGCAGAUAGAUCAACUCAAGAUCCACUCCUAGGUGGUAGUCCGCCACCUGGGGAUUGAGAAGAUAAGUAAAAUUGACGAGAAAUAAACUCCAGAACCACUCCUAGGCGGUAGUCCGCCACCUGGGGUUGGAGGGUUUUGAAUGAUUAACUAUAUCAGGCCGCCAUCUGUAGACAAUAUAUAUAUAUAUAUAUAUCCCUUCUCAGCUGCGGACGUCCGCACCAAUGGUUUUGGUGCGGAUUUUCAUUUUUACACCACUUUUCGAUCGAAUUUCCUCAUCUCCACCGUCCAGUAUCUAGAUAAUAUUGUGUAGAUCAUCUCUGCAAAAAUUCAGCCAAUUUGGUAAUCGUUAAGGCCCUCAAAAUUGCGUCUUUCUUCUAUAAACAUGAACGGUUCAUGUUUGACAGAAUUCAGUCCGUCCAUUUGUUUUUCGAGUUUGAGGGCCUUAACGAUUNNNNNNNNNNNNNNNNNNNNAAACCAUUGGUGCGGACGUCCGCAUCUGAUCAGCAUUGUAUAUAUAUAUAUAUAAAAGAGCGAAGGUUCGUUAUGAAGUUAAAGUGUGAAGUUCCAUAUUUGACAUAUUUUUCGAUCAUCUUUCCACAUCUCCACUGUUCAAUUUGUAGAGCCUAUAGCAUAUAUAGAUCACUUCUGUAAAGUUUCAUCUAAAUUGAUGAUCAUUGCGGUGCCAAAUUAGAUUAAAUCAAUGAACGGACCAUAAAUAUGUCUAACUAGAACUAUUUAUGUAAAUAACAAUUACGAAAACCCAAACGAUCAUCAAAUUCGAUGAAAUUUUACAAAAAUAAUCUAUGCAAUAGAUUAUAUAUAUAUAUAUAUUUAAUUUGAACAUGAUAUGCAAUAGAUUAUAUAAACUGAAUGGUGUAGAUAUGAAAAGAUAACCGAAAAAUGUGUCAAAUAAAGAACUUUACACUUUAAUUUUAAAGCGAAACUUCGCAUAUAUAUAUAUAUAUAUAAAUAAAGGUACCUUAAUUCCUCCAAAAAUAAUGGUUAGAGCACAGAAAGUCACAUGCGCCAGAGCUAGCACAAAUAUGAAAAUAUGUAGAUGAUGCAAUGCAGUUGUGGAUAGCAAUGGGACCUUCCCCUACAUAAAUUAAUCAGAUCAGUAUUCAGAACUAAAAUUUACCUCAAUAUUCCAAGUUAUUAGGUGAGAACAAAAAAUUAAGAAAAAUAAAGUAGUCGUACGCGUGCAACCCUUUGAUGGCAUAAUAUAUUCAAGACUUCAAGUUCUCCGUUGCACUCCGUUUUCGAUUACGUAUUCACAUCUUGAUUGCGUAAUUUGUAGAUAUACACGAAUAUAUCAUCUUUACAAAUUUUCAUCUAAAUUGAAAUUCUUUAAGACAUUCAUAAAUGUGAUUUUUCGAUUAUAAACUUGAACUGCUCAUGUUCGACAAAUUUGGAUCGUCAAUUAAUUUAAUUUAGUUUGAUUCCUUAACGAUCAUCGAUUUAGCUAAAAAUUUAUAGAAAUGAUAUACUUAUAUAAACCUAAAAACUAAACGAUAGAUGAAAAAAUAUAAUUUUAAAAUAGGUGUAAUAAAUCAUCAAGAGAAAAAUCCUCAACUAAAUGGUCCUGGUUGAACCUCUCCCUAUAAUAUAUAAAUUAUUUUUUUCCAGCUUUGCUUCAUGAGCUUGAUUCUUGAUUCUUGAUUCUUGACUAGGGGUGGGCAUGAGACGGGAUGGGACGGGAUAGAGCUAAUCCCACGGCCUGUUUCGGAUAUUGAAAUCGGGACGGGACGGGACGGGAUUUGCGUUUUUAAGAUUUCAUCCCACCCGGGCCCUAUCCCGGUUGGGACGGGUCAGGAUGGGACGGGACGGGCCUAAUCCCGGAUAAAAAAAGUUAAAAAUAAACUUGUAAGUAAAUGAAAGAAUUUCAUAGUUUUAUAGUGCUCUUUACUCUAUUAAGUAUUAACAAGUACUUGUACUUGUAACAUAUUUACAAGUACAACACGGUGUAAUAAGAGAAUUUAUUUGCUUAUUUUCUCUAAACUUGUCAUCACUACUACGGUGCAAGAAGAGAGUCUAUAACAAUCAACAAAUUAAAGUAUUAAACAUCACUAUUAUUGAAUUGGAGACAACCUAUUAACUUAAAGAAACAAAGAGUUAAGAUCAAAACACUUAAAUGAAAGCUUCAAAUCACAUAUUAAUUAAUAAAAAAUCAAUUAUUAAAAUAAUCGGGACGGGACGGGCCUAAACGGGAUUUGAAUUAUCUGUUCCAUGUCCCGUCCUGUUAUAUAGGGAUGGGAUGAGACGGGACGAGCCUAACGUUUUGAUAUUUAAAUCCCGUCCCGUCCCGGCAAAUUUCGGGAUGGGAACAGGACGGGUUCAGAAUUACGGGAUUUUAUGCCUACCCCUAUUCGUGACACUUAAUUUGAAACGUCAUACUGGUUAAUUUCUUAAACAGUGAUAGAUGUGACGACGUCUACCCCUCACGUAAAAGAUCGUUCCCGGUUGGCUACUGUUUAAAAUCAAGAAGGGUGUCAAGACACAAAAAAUUCAAUAAUGGAGCAAGUUAGUUAAAUAAUACUGAUUAUUGCACAAUACAAAAAUAUAGAAAAUGAAAAUUAGGCCAAUUGACAUUGACCUAGCUAGCUACCUGCUCUGAACAGGAUUUAGGGUUCUUGGCUGCAAGAAGAUGCCGAGAAUAAUGGUUACUAGUGAAGAAGCUGCUGGUCUGGAAAUGGCCAGUCGUUGACUUUGACUUCGGCUCUUCUUCCUUACAAGGCAGCCAAUGACUGGCAAGUUUCUUUGAUAUGCAGAACUUUUCUAUAGAAUCUUGGAACACCGUCAGCAGGAGUGAUAUAAACCCCAAAAGCAUCAACUCUGCAUAUCACAAUCAAUCAUCGUAACUGAUUAACUAAGUAGGUAUGAUAAUAGAUGUGUGUAUAUUCUUCAAACUCUCAAUUCAGACCGGUCAAAAGAGGAAAAAAACAGAGAGAGAGAGGAAAGAAAUAAAAGAUUCAGAGGAGCACCUUCUUUGAUCUUCUGCAAGGCCUCGAAGAGAGGUAUCUGCUUCUUUCUCUUGAGAUACUGUACGAAAUGAAGNNNNNNNNNNNNNNNNNNNNNNNNNNNNNNNNNNNNNNNNNNNNNNNNNNNNNNNNNNNNNNNNNNNNNNNNNNNNNNNNNNNNNNNNNNNNNNNNNNNNNNNNNNNNNNNNNNNNNNNNNNNNNNNNNNNNNNNNNNNNNNNNNNNNNNNNNNNNNNNNNNNNNNNNNNNNNNNNNNNNNNNNNNNNNNNNNNNNNNNNNNNNNNNNNNNNNNNNNNNNNNNNNNNNNNNNNNNNNNNNNNNNNNNNNNNNNNNNNNNNNNNNNNNNNNNNNNNNNNNNNNNNNNNNNNNNNNNNNNNNNNNNNNNNNNNNNNNNNNNNNNNNNNNNNNNNNNNNNNNNNNNNNNNNNNNNNNNNNNNNNNNNNNNNNNNNNNNNNNNNNNNNNNNNNNNNNNNNNNNNNNNNNNNNNNNNNNNNNNNNNNNNGGGGGUUGGGUUUUCAAUGAUACAAAUAACACAAGAUUAAAGAUGGGCUAGAGAUCGAUCAUAGAGAUUAAUUUGAGAGCGGUGGAGCUACGAGAUGGAGGUAGACAUGCCUUGCCAGUGCAGUGAAGUAAUUUCUCGACGACUAAAGAAAUGAAGACUAUAACAGAACACACAAAAGCCACCGCCCAUGUCGGUGUUUGCUCCAACGUUGUCCCUCCAGCUGCCAUGAUCGAUCAAUCUAUGUCGCCGGCGAGCUAGGAUGUACGUGGUGCGAUCGUGGCGGCCGGUAAUGUUGGUCUAGCAAGCAACAGAGACUGGUACUCUGGUCGCUACCAGGCCUCGACCCUGCAUGCUCUUUCUAUUUGUGAAUGUCCAUCUCUCCGUUUAUCGAUAUAUUUAUAGUUAGUUUAUUACUUUAUUUGUUCAGUUUACUUAUUUAUUUUAUGGUUAAAAGUUAAAACAUAUAUGAGGACGGAAAGCUGAAAAAGACGUGGAGCGACCAACAAAAGCCAAUCCCAAACUACCUCAUAGCCACUAAAACGUAGUUAAAUGGUGGAUGUAAUGCAGGGUUAUAUAUGCAGCAAGACUACUAUGGCUUAAUUCUUCAACGCUUUUCAAUUAUAUUUGCACGAGACUAACAUAAGUCCACAUAAAGAAAUCGUUAUUGACAUUGAAUAAAAUUUAAUAAGUUUGUCGAUAAAAAUGAUGUAAACUUAGUUCUCUAUUAUUAAACUCGGACCCUGCCCCUCACAAAGUAAAAAUCUUGGUUCUGUCCCUGACUGCAAUUCAUAAUUCUUCCUGAAGUUUGGUUUCAUUUUCAUCAAUAUCACUUGGCCUUAAUCCAAAGCUUUUCUUCUUCUUCUUCAUCACCGUGAGUUUUAAGUUUGAACAUUGUAUCAGAGCGACAAAGACCUUCUUGGAAUGUUAGGAGACCUGGAAGAGUAUCUAAGACCAUGCUCGCAAGUCACUUCAACUCGGCUGCAUAUAUGCCUGUUCAAGAAAUACAAGUCAAUAGGACUCGGAUGUACAUAGAAAUUGGACUUGUUCAUGAGCAUUUUUCCACUAAACAAACAAGAUAGCAUUUUUCCACUAAACAAACAAGAUAUCAUUUUUCCACUAUUAAUGAAACCAAAGAAUAUAAUAGGAGAGCCUCAAAUUAUAACAAAACAUGUAUUCUACCAUGCACAAAUUAAUAAAGAGUGCAUCUUUGGCUACUCUAUUUGUUUUACAAUUUAGAUUAAUGUAUUUUGAUUUUUGCAAUUUUGGUUCAUAAAUCAACAAUGUUUGCAGUCAUUUUUGGUUAUAUUAAUCAGCAUCAAUGUGUUGACAUGCUUCUCAUGUACAAAAUUAGUUAAUUACGUUAUUCUCUCCGACUUAAACUAUAUAUGUAACAUUAAUUUUCCCAAAACAAAUAAAGUUUGAAUAUGUGAAGCAGGAAAAGACGUCAUUUCUGAACUGAUUGUAAAUGUGGGGAUAUAGUUGACAUGAAUAUCAUAAAAAUUGCUCAGCCACACCAUGAAGAUGUUUAUACGAGACCUUCUUGGAAUAUUAAGAGACUUGGAAGAAAUACGAGACCUUCUUCGAACUUAAUUGGCUGCAUAUAUACCUAGCCUGCACGUGACAAGAAAUACGAGUCGAUCAGUAGGACAUGCCGUGGAUGUACAUAGCAGUUGGACUUGUUCAUGCGCAUUUUCCACUAAACAAACAAGAUAUCAACAACAAUAUUUGUUUAUAUUUAAUUACUUUACUAAUUUACUUAUCUACUUGUGGAAUGAUGCGGGGAAAUUCGACUUUCUUACCAAGUGAUUACAAGAAAAGAAUAAUAAUUGCACGUAGCUAGAGUCAUAUUAUUAUAAUUUAGAUCCAUGUAUUUUGAAGUUUUCGAUUUUGGUUCAUAAAUUAAUUAAUAAUAUUUACAUUCUAUAUCGUGUUUUAUGCUAUAUUGAAAUCAGUCUGUAGACAUACUUCGAUCUUAUGUAUAAGGUUAAUUUCGUUAUUCUAUUUCUCCAACUCAAACUAAAUAAUCAAAACUUGAAUAUGUGAACCCAUUCCUAGAAGUUAGGACUUAUGUGACGAAAUGGUUUCGUUAUUUAAAAGUAAAAUUUCGUCUUUCGUCGCAUAAGUACUUAUGAGACGAAAAUUUUGUCGCUUAAGAGUCGUCGCAUAGGUGGUGUCGCAUAGAUACCUAAGUGACGAAAAUACAUGUUUCGUUGCUUAUAUUCCUCUUAAGCGACGAAUUACGUUUCGUCGCUAAACUCCUUAAGCGACGAAUUUUCAACACUUAAGAGACAAAAUACUUCGUCGGUUCGGUGUUUACACUAUUACAAAAAAUUAAUUAAUUAAAUUUUUAGAGCAGCAGCAACACAACUAGUCCUUCAUGUCCGACCAACCCGACCCGAAUUCCAAGUCCACGGAGCCUCACAACCCUUAUCAAACCGCUCCCAAUUGGCUCAACAACGCCCUCCUCCACACCCAGUACGCCACAAACACCUCCGGCGCUGACACCAGCAACGGCAGUGGAGGAGGUACUAAUUUCCUCAACCUCCACACAGCCUCCGACUCCACCGCCGCCUCCCAGGCCUCCAACCAAUGGCUAUCGCGCCCGAUCCUACAGCGCAACCACAGCGACGUCAUCGAUGAUGUCGCUGCCGGCCCCGGUGACUCCAUGAUUGCCGGCCCCGAGCUUACCCGCUUCACCUGCAAACUGCUCUAGUCCAAAAACUCCUCCUCCUCCUCACUCGAUCUCUCUCUCCUCCAUCCCCUCACAUAUGAGGCUUGGAAAGGGUGGGCUGAGUUUGAAUCUAGGAGGCGGCGACGGCGGCAUCGAGGUGAAGGAGUUAGACAGAGCAAGCGGUUGGAUUCGGGAAUGAAUCGGAGAGGGAGGAGGCCGGAUCUAGUGGAGAGAAAGAGAGUGAGGGCUGGAUGAUGGUGAGGAAAAAGAAGAGGAGAGGUGGUUGAUGGCUGGGUUUGAUCUGAGGAAGAAGAACUGAUGAGGGGAGAACAAGGAAGUAGGAACAGAUGGAAGAAGAUAAAGUGGGAGAAGUGGGAGAGAGAGUUUAUAAAACAGAUAAAAUGGGGCUUUGAAAUUUUUAAAAUUUUUGGUUUGAAAAUUUCCUAAAUUUUGGCGGGAAAGGUUUGACCGCCUAAUUAUUUAGUCAUAUGCGACGAAAAUGGUAACUCACUUCGCUUAAGUAGAAAAUCACUAAUUAUAAUUUUUAAAUUAAAACAUUAAUUCCAUCAUAAAUGUACAUCACUUAAAUCUCUUAAAUUUUUAGAGAUUAUUAGCCUUGAUUACCAUCGAAUAUGAAUGGAUGUAAUUAAUGAAAUAUGAAUUUCACGUUGACUUUGAAAAAUUAACUUAAUUAGUCUUAAAUAUCUAUCGACAUUAAUGGAAUGGAGUUAAUAUUUAUAGUAUUAAAAUGUUUUUUAUUUAUAAUUAAGGUAAAGGGAAGCAACACAUUCUUUUAAUAUUUAUCAUGCUUCUGAAAUUUUUAAAAUUUAUUCAAUAUGAGUUAAUCAACUUUCCCGAAAAAAUGUUCAUUUUACUAAUUCGCUUUUAUCGGGGCAUAAACGAUACCGGAAAUACGUGAUUUUUUAACCUUAGUCGUACGUAUUUCACUAUACCAAUCACAUCUUAUUUCACAAGAUUUUUAAAAAUUUAGUUUUAUUUGUAUAAUUGGUUCACACAUACGUACACUUCCAUAUAACCUAUGAAACAAGUUAUAUUACUUUAUCAGACACGUUAUGAUUCCAAUAAAUAAAAGUAAAAUUUCUAAAAAUAUCAUCAAAUAAGAUGUGAUCAGUAUAGUAAAAUAAACCUAUGGUAGAAAAUUCACUUAUUUUCGAUAAUAUUUGGGUCUCGACAAACGCGGUUAACCCUAAAUCAACGUCACGUAUCAUACGAAAACGCUAUUAGAUAUCCACACGUGGCCUAGUUUUGUUGAUUCUUCCACACACACAUUCUCACAUGAAUGAGAUGUAACCACAUAUGUAAAAAUUUUGGGAUGUUUACCUCCCGACGAUAAGACUCGUCAUAGGGAAACAUAAGUUUAAAUAUGGUUGACCACUUUUAUCGGAACCUAAACAUUACCAAAAAUACAUGAUUUUUUAAACCUAGCCGUAUUUAGCUAUACCGAUCACAUCAUAUUUCACAAUAUUUUUGAAAAUUUUGCUUCAUUUGUAUGGUUGGUUCACAAAGAUGUACACUUGCAUAUAACCUAUUAAAAAUUAACUUAAUUAGUCUUAAAUAUUCAUCUACAUAUAUUUUAAAAAAAUAACUUAAAUAUGAAUUGAAAAUUAACUUUUAAAUAUGAUUUUUUUAUAUAUAAUUAAGUUAAAUGGAAGCAACACUUUCUUUUAAUAUUUAUUGUUCUUCUAAAAUUUAUACAAGAUGAGUUAAUGAACUUUCGCGAAAAAAUGUUUUACUUUUGUAUGUGGACUUCAUUAAGUGGUAUGUAGGAAAUCCUUAAUAUUUAAUAAUCUUUUAUUUUUAUAUAAUUAUUUAAUAAAUUUUUCAUUUUUAUAUAAUUAUGAAAAAAAUUCGUCUCUUAAGUCAAACCAUUUCAUCUCAUUAGUUCUCACUUAAGAGACAAAUUUCAAUUUCGUCGCUUAAGUAUUCACUUAAGAGAGGAACCCAGUUUCGUCUCAUAAGUGCUUACUUAAUUUCGUCUCUUAAGUGGUUACUUAAGCGACAAAUUUGAAAAAUUUUCUCUCUUAAGCCUUUUUUCCUAGUAAUGACCACAAAUUGUUAUUGAGAUAAUUUCACUUUACUACCCUGAACUUUAGGUCUAAAAUCAGUUUGAUAUCUCAUCUUUUUUUUUAAUCAGUUUCAUACCUAAACUUUCAAAAUGACAUCAAUCUCGACCAAAAUGACUAAAAUAGCCCUGGUUAAUCUUUUUACCCUCUCAGAGUUAAGAAUGGCAGCGGCGACUGCCGGGGGAGGAGGAGGGGCUGCCGCCGGAGCCCAUUGCUGGUAGUAGGGGUGGAUGCCGGCGCCAGCCAUGUGGUGGAUUUGGAGGCAGGGAGAGNNNNNNNNNNNNNNNNNNNNGAGAGAGGGUAAAAAGAUUAACCAUGGCUAUUUUAGUCAUUUUGGUCGAGAUUGAUGUCAUUUUGAAAGUUUAGGUAUGAAACUGAUUAAAAAAAAGAUGAGGUAUCAAACUGAUUUUAGACCUAAAGUUCAGGGUAGUAAACUGAAUUUUUUCCAUUGUUAUUUGUCUCUAUUAGCUGAAGAUAAUGGAAAUAAUGGAAAUGAAACAAAUGUAAAAUUGAUGUUAUAAAUACAUGCAUGCCUGCUGAAGAAAAUUGUCCCUCUCAAGAAAUAGAAAUUAAUUAUGUGCAUGACCAAUAGAAAUUAAUUAUGUGCAUGACCAAGAAAAGGCUGUGAUGCUUGCAUCUCUUCUAUAUUACUAUGAACCCAAAUGGUAGUCAUAUAUGCCUCCCUUUCGAGAAAUUUUUCAACGUUACGGGAGGACCACGUGGCAGUAUGACGUGAUCCUACAUUCUAAUCAAAUAUUAACACAUAAAUUGUCACAUCCCGACCCUUAAAUUUUUACCUUAUUUACUAGCUUGACUAUAAUAAGAAUUUUACCGUCUCCGUCAAUGAAGUUAUAGUUUAAUUGGUCCCUAGAGGGGUUUUGGGGACGAUUAUUUCGGAGAGUGAUUCGUCGGAGAGUGAUUCGUAGGAGAAAAAUAUGACGACGGUAAAAAUGGUAAAUUUUAGCUAGUAAAAGGUAAUUUUUAUUAGGGUAUUUUUUUGGGGUGUAAUUUUUUUAGUGGAGUUGGGUAUAUUAUAGGCUUGGACCGGGUGUGGAGGCCCAAAGCCUUUCUUCUUCUUUCUUUUCUCUUCCCUCUUCCCCGAGCCCUCUCCCGAGCUCUCUCACCCCGGCGAACUUCCGGCCGUCCGCCUGCCGCCGUCCGGCCACCGUUCGCCGUCGCUCCGGUCCCAAACGGUCGGCCUCCGACCCAGCUAUCUCCCAGGACCAGUGACAGCCGCCCUAGCUCCGCCGUGAAGGAGCGCUCUCCCCCAAAAGGUCCGACUGUGUUAAGCUUCACGUCGUCAGAACUUCCUUCUCCGGCCACCAAUCCGGGGAAGCCAUAUAUGGUUUUGAAGGUCUCCAACCCAGUUGCCUUGCCAUAGAAGGACUCGGUCCAGUUUGCUUCAGGACGAGAGGAGUCCCGAGCAGAGGAAGCAUCAGAGCGUCAUCAGGCUUAGGCCUAAUUUGUGAGUGGACCUUUGUUUUAAUUGGAAAAGCAUGCGAUGAAUUAUCUUGUUGAUCAUUUAUUUCUUUUGAUGAGACUUAUUGAUUUCUCGAUUAUUUGGCAAUUUUUCCUCUUUUGGAGAGAUCUCAAAAAUGAGAUUUUCGGUGGAUAUGUUUAUGGAUAUUAUGAGUAUAGUAUGUAUAUAAAUGCUAACUAGCCAUACGUGCUUGAUCCGUCAUAAUGAGGUAAAAUGCCAUUAUGGCGUAAUGUGAGUGUUAGACACUAGCGUCAUAGCCCUAUAUAAAAACUACUUUUUUUCUAGUUUAUUUAGGUUUUCAUAUAGGGAGUCCACACGUAUAUAAAUACACCGUCCUCUUCGGUUAUAAUGAGGAAAAAUACCAUUAUGGCGCAACGUGAGCGUUAGACGCCAACGUUGUAGCCUUGUAUAAAUUUCUAUUUUUCUAAAUUGUUUCUAGGAUUCAUACAAGGAGUCUGACGGGUGUAAAUACAUACGAAUAUAUGAUUAUAUAUAAUUUAGCCUGAGAGGCUCCAUUUUAUUUGAGUUGGUGACUAGCCGGAGCUAGUCGUGAAAUUGCCAGUUUAUGAGUUGAGUGCUUUUAAGCUGCCGCAUACAGUAUAUUUUCUUUGGAAAUUAAAAUGGGGAAAGCAUAAAUAUUUUUAUUAAUUUAUUUUUGUCCACUCACUCUAACGUGUUAAUAAAUGUGUUCCCCUGGGCCCUUCGUUUUAAAUUGCCCAGUCUGCAGAGUACGGAUUGGAUCUAGUAGGAGACGAGGCAUAGUCACCCGCUUUUCCACCACUUUUCAUCAGUAGGUUACCUGUUUAACCUACCAGCAUUUUCUUGCUUCCUCUAGUUAGCAGCUCUGAUUACCUGAAGGAUAAUGUUAUUAUUUCGGUUGUGAGCGAAGGCAUGUUGACAUUUUAGAAUAUUUGUCGGAGGAUUUAUGUCACAUCCCGACCCUUAUAUUUUUACCUUAUUUACUAGCGUGAUUAUAAUAAGAAUUUUACCGUCUCGAUCAUUGAGUAAAUAGUUUAAUUGGUCCCUAGAGGGGUUUCGGGGACGAUUAUGUGCGGAGGAUUAUUCGUAUGAGGAAAAUACGACGAUGGUAAAAUUAGUAAAUUUUAGCUAGUAAAAGGUAAUUUUUAUUCGGGUAUUAUUUUUCGGGGUGUUGAAUUUUGGAAUUAUGGGUUAAAAGGAGAGUUGGGUCGGCUGGGCCGAGCCCAACCCAUUUCUUCUUCCUUUCUCUCUCUCUCCCUCCCGAUUUUUCUUCUCUUCCCACCCGGUUUUCUCCUUUCUCCACCCGGAAAGUUCUCCACCGCCGUCCGCCGCCGUCCGGCCGCCCCAGACCGCCACACCGGUCCCAAUCGAUCGACCUCCAACCCAGCAACCUUCCUGGACCGGUGAGAGGAGCCCUAACGCCGCCGUGAGUGAGCGGUGCCGCCCGAAAGCUUCGACUGCCGAAUUGGUUUUUUUCGCCGGAACUUCCUCCUCCGGCCACCAAUCCGGGCAAGCUUGGUAUGGUUUUGUAGCCCUCCAACCCAGCAACCUUGCCCUAAAAGGACUCACUCCCUCUUGAGCUAGGUAAGGAGAAAUUUGAGGUGGAAGUUUUAUGGUGUUUUUGAUGUUUUUAGUCGAUUGCCNNNNN